rnacentral:rRNA from 1 species
AAGCGUUGUCCGGAUUUACUGGGCGUAAAGAGCGCGCAGGCGGUCGUGCAAGUCGCGUGUGAAAGCCCCCGGCUCAACUGGGGAGGGUCACGCGAUACUGCUCGACUCGAAGGCAGGAGAGGGAAGUGGAAUUCCCGGUGUAGUGGUGAAAUGCGUAGAUAUCGGGAGGAACACCAGUGGCGAAGGCGACUUCCUGGCCUGUUCUUGACGCUGAGGCGCGAAAGCUAGGGUAGCAAACGGGAUUAGAUACCCCGGUAGUCCUAGCCGUAAACGAUGGACACUAGGUGUUGGUGGUAUCAACCCCGCCAGUGCCGAAGCUAACGCAUUAAGUGUCCCGCCUGGGGAGUACGGCCGCAAGGCUA